CUACAGCCAUACCACCCUAAAUGUGCCCAACUCAUCUAAUCUCAGAAGCUAAGCAGGGUCAGGCCUGGUUAGUACUUGGAUUAGAUAAACACCUAACUUUAUUUGGUAAUAGAUGCAAACUGGCUUCUUUGUAGG
rnacentral:rRNA from 1 species